AAGGAUCUCCAAAUUUGAAAAACAAAAUAUAUAAUAAUAGUCCUGACUCAUGAGUUUAAUAAUAUGAGGUAAAUAUUCCUUUAACUCCUAUAUUUGGUAAAAUCUCACAAGACACCCUCAUAUUUUAUUUUGGUCAUAUCGUUUUAUUCCCUCGGUAAUAUAUUUAAUUGGUAAAUACAAAUUAACAGAAUACUGGCAAUGGCAGAAAAGCCAUAAACUAUGUACAAAGAAUUCAAAUAAAAAAAAAAAUCGAAAACAAAUUCAGUCCACGAAUUUAUUGAUUAAUACCAAAGAAAUGAAAAGGGCCCUCGUAAAUUAAUCAAUAAUGAAAUUAAGAGAGACAGAAAAAAAAUUAUAAAAAAAAAAGUGUAGAGAGAUAGUGCAUCAUGCACAUAGCCACAUAUGAUGAGUUCAAGCACGUCAACUGCCUCCGCCUCCGCCUCCACAGCCGCCACCUCCACCUCCGCCCCCACAGCCGCCACCUCCACCUCCACCCCCACAUCCGGCGCCUCCUCCACCAUGGUCGUGAUGAUUCGCAGCAGCAGCAUCAGCAAUAUCAGCACCGGACUUGACGCCCUCGCCGCAGCAGCUGAUUAAGCAUUCGAGGAAACUGUUUUGCUUUUUCUUGUUUGCAUUUUUAUUUGCCUUCUUCUUAGUCUUACCCAUAACUGGAGAAAUCGAAUUAAUAUUGAAGUCUUUUAUUUUCGUUUUAUCGAUAUUUUACAUAAUCUGCGUACGUGAUAUAUAUACACACACACACACAAAAUAUCAUUCUCUUUAAUAGUAUUACUUUAUAAUUAAGGUCGUUGACUUGACUUACUAAUUCAUAAAAGUCCUAUUACGCGUCUUCUGACCGUGUUAUUAGUCUCAAUGUCUAGCUUCUAGGUUUUGGGAAGGUUCUUGGAUCAUUCGUGCCACGAUUAAUUCUAAGCCAAGAUAAGAGGAGCAUUGAAUUACUAUAUACGUACAUUCAACUGGAUUAUUAGUCUAAGAAUUUAAGCGGUUUGUGUAUGAAAUGAUUAACAAAGAUGGUACCAAGUGCCAACCUACCUAGACCUUCAUAUCUAUAUGCAAAAGCACUUCGGCGGAGCAUGCAGGAAGGAAAUUUAAUUACAUUUUUUACUUUUGUUUUUGUGAGAGUGCCUGAGGCCUCUCGGCUUACCUUUUUAUGUACAUAUUUGUCAAAAUAAGUGGCUACAGGAUCUAGACAGCAUAUCUAAAAGCAGCAAAUGUUGAAGGAAAUGGUGCCGCCAAGGAAGAAGAAGAAGAAAGAAGUUUGAAGAAGAAAAAUGGAGGCACACAAUUUUGACAAAGAAAAAAAAAAAAGAUUAAACUAAUAGCUAAUUUUGGCUAUAAAUCACUACAAGAAAAAAGAGAUACGACAACAGUACUUUAGCAAAGUGCGUGUAAUGCAU
rnacentral:lncRNA from 1 species